rnacentral:lncRNA from 1 species
AUAUUUCGUCAAUGUAAAAAUUGGCUAUCCCUUCCCUGCCCUUCUUUUUUUAAUUUCAUGUAUUCGAUGACUAUAAAUAGCUAACCUCUCACUGUUACUCGUCAUUUGUCAUCCUAAAAUUCAAUAACAAUAUCAUCUUUGAUCUCCAUCGUAAAGUUUAUUCAUCUACCAAUUUAAAUCAUAGAUUCCAUCAAUGUUUCAAGCCUGAAAAAUUACAUAAAAAAAAAGUAGUAAGAAUAAAUUUUCAAUAAGAAAUCUAACAUGCAUAUGUAUGAAUACUAUAUCAAGAACCCAACCAAAAAAAGUGAUUUAGGCAUCACACAAAACUGUUGUAUAAUCAACAUAUAUUGAGAAAAGGGUAAAAUUAAGAUAUACAAUGAAAAAAAGUAUAAAGCAAUUACCUUUAUUUUCUUCCACGAUACAUACGUGCAAUGGAUAAACACAAAGAUGGUAACCCCUUCAGUUGAUAGUUGUAACAUUUUUAAUGCAUGAUUCAACACAUUGAGCGUCAAGAGUCUAUUAAAAACCACCCCUCUGUCUUUGAAGUAGGGGCAGGGUUUGCAUACAUUUUAUUAUCUCUAGAUCCCACUUUGUGGGAUUGCAUCAGAAAUAUUGUUUCUAGGCAUGAUAAUGAUCAUAUAACACCCACUUUUCCUCAACAGAGAUACCAGCAAGCUUAUACUGGGAACACUCUUAAUCGAUGAGAUCAAGUGCCUAUAAAUAGGAAAAUCUCAUAUAAAUGAAGGACGUGAUCAAAUAUUAAGUUCCUCUCACUUUAUACGCUCCAUACUGUGUCACAAACCACAAGAUAUUCAAAUUUCAUUUCUUUUAGAGAGUUAAAAAAUUUCAUGAUACAUAUUGAUGAAUUAAAGAAGCAUUAUACGAUGUAGGUACUGAGUAAAUCCUAUGCUGCAUAAUAUGCAGAGGAGUGAAUCAGGUCUCGAUUGGAAAGUACCUUCAAAUGAUCUCUUUGUUCACUAUAUUUGGACAAAAUUGCCACACCAAUUGUCUGGGUUUCUUCUGUCAUUCUGGAUGAUUUAGAAUGAUGACCUAUAAUCAGAUUGCAUGACUUGUGCUUCGACCUAAAAAAUUCUCAAAUCACACAUUAUAAAGAAAUUCUAAACACCACUCCUAAACCUAUACGUUAUUGAUAUGAAUUAGAACAUAAAAAGAAUUUUUUAACCUAAUCUAAAAUAGGCUCUAUGCCUACAAAAUAUAGUCAACGUAGGAUUUGUAAUAAAAUUUUAGAAUACUUUACCCUAUAUUUUAGGGAUCAUUUAUUUUAAAUAUUAUAAAUAUAAUGAUAUAAUAAUUAUAGAAAAUAAUUUAAAAGACAAUUUUAUCAAUUAAAGAGUAUUUUACUACAGGAUAAAAAGUUCAAA